rnacentral:rRNA from 1 species
UACGUAGGUGGCAAGCGUUGUCCGGAAUUAUUGGGCGUAAAGCGCGCGCAGGCGGUCCUCUAAGUCUGAUGUGAAAGCCCACGGCUCAACCGUGGAGGGUCAUUGGAAACUGGGGGACUUGAGUACAGAAGAGAAGAGUGGAAUUCCACGUGUAGCGGUGAAAUGCGUAGAGAUGUGGAGGAACACCAGUGGCGAAGGCGACUCUGUGGUCUGUAACUGACGCUGAGGCGCGAAAGCGUGGGGAGCAAACAGG